GCUAGGGUCAGAUCCCUGAGCUAACCAUGUAAAAACCCACUCUUCCUUGAGCUGGCCGCCAGGCCAAACUGAGCAAUCGGGGGAGAAGUGCAGUGCAGUGGAGCAGCAGUGCAGUGGAGUAGCUUCAACAGCCAUAGGCCCAGGGAUUUCACAUCACAUUCCAUGAUGCAAUGCAGAAUACGGCUUCACACAGAACAAUCACCAAACCCAAUAGAUAACACGUAGCACAGCCAAACAUCAUGUAUCACAUGAAGAUGCAUGUGUGUUCUCCAGACGUGAUACCUUGUCACGGACCUGCUGUUUCGAUCUUCGCUCUCUCUCUCCCUACCACACCUGUUGUCUCAACCUCUGAAUGUUCGGCUAUGAAAAGCCAACUGACCAUUACUCCGGAGGUGCUGACCUGUUGCACCUUCUGUAACCACAUUAUUUUGUUGACUCUGCUGGUCAUCUAUGAAGAAUGUUUGAACUACAGUACUUGAAGAACUGUAGUAGGAUGUCCCUUGGGGGUAUCCGUACCUAUGUAGGACAUGCGAGGGUUAUGUUAAUAAACAGGCUGGAGCUAGAACCUCGUUGUCGCGCGUCUUUAUUUUAGAUCAUACUACAUGGUGUCAGAAGAGGUUUUAAAAUUCACAUAAACGUGAAGGAGGUACCAAGUAAAUCAUACUUUCAGGCUGUUUCAAAGCAGGGAGGGCACAGUGUUGGAGAUAAAACAGCGCAUAUCAUUAUUUUGCUAGCUAACGAGCAAGGACUAAGCUACUGCUAAGCAACAUGUUGCAAGAGGAAGAAGCUGGCGGGAUUUCAGGGUUUGCGACUCCAAGUUCAACGGGCUCUGGCGCAAACACGGACAGGCCAGUGGCUAGUGCUUUCCCAUUAGUCCCCCGGAGAAUUUUGUUUGUAUGGACAUACAAAACUGGCCGAAAUGAAUCAGUCGCUUUGAAAGGUACAGGGUAGCAUCAGGCGUAAACGUGAAAAAUGAGGCAUUUCAAGUUAAUACACUGAUCUACUCUAUGGGUGAUGAAGCCGAGGAUAUAUUAAAUGCUUCAACGUUGACCGACGAAGAGAAACUGAACUACAGUGCCGUUAAAGACUGUUUUGGAACGCAUUUUGUAGGGAGACACAAUAUUAUUUUUGAGAGAGUUAGGUUUAAUAUGCGCAAACAGGAGCAGGGUGAAACCACUGACAGUUUUAUCACAGCUGUUCACAAACUAGCAGAACAUUGUCAGUUUGGCGCGCUCAGGAAAGAGCUGAUCCGAGAUCGGAUGGUGAGGCAGAGAGAGCUGUGAAAACAGUCAAGGGACUGCUGAAAAAAACAAGGAUCCAUACAGGGCUCUGUUAGCUUACAGAGUUACACCACUGCAUCAUGGGCCGUCGCCUGCCGAGCUCCUGAUGGGCAGGAGGCAGCGUUCCCCAUUGCCUGUCUCGCCGGCUCAGCUUAAACCCCGAUGGCCUAACAGAAAGGCCUUCGCUGAGAGGGACAAAAGUCUGAAACAAACGCAAACUGGAGACUUUAAUCGGAGACACCAUGCUAAGGAGAGGCCAGAGCUGACCGAAGGUCAACGCGUGUGGAUUACAAACUCAAAGACACCAGCAAUAGUGCUGAGGAAAGCGGAUGCCCCACGCUCCUAUGUGGUGGCACAGGCUCAGAAGAGGUACGAAGGAACAAAACACACCUCAGAGCUCUUCCAGAUCUACCAGCCACACAGACCGAGGCCACAGAAAAUGCACAAAAAGAGGGUGAAGGAGAGAGAAUGCUCACAGAGCCACAAGCGCGCCCAAAAAGGGAUGUGAAGCCACCAGAGUGGCUGAAAGACUAUGUUACGUGAAGAGAAAACAUACUGCUGGGGAACAUACCCAGCAACAAGAGACUGUACCUAAGUUAAUGUUCAUACUGUGUGAUUUAAUGCUUUCAUACUGUUUCAGGAUGGGAAGUAGCAUGUUCGAGAAUAAUACUGGUUUCCAAAUUGCAUUUCAGUUAUGCUUCAGUGGUUAUGCAUGUUGAGUUCUUGUUCAUGGGAGAGGGGAAGAUGUAGUAGGAUGUCCCUUGGGGUGUAUCCGUACCUAUGUAGGACAUGCGAGGGUUAGGUUAAUAAACAGGCUGGAGUUAGAACCUCGUUGUCGCGCGUCUUUAUUUUAGAUCAUACUACAAGAACAAUCUGGCCUUAUUGGCCAUGUACGCUUAUAAUUUCCACCGGCACAGCCAGAAGAGGACUAGCCACCCCUCAGAGCCUGGUUCCUCUCUAGGUUUCUUCCUAGGUUCCUGUUUUUCUAGAGAGUUUUUCCUAGCUACCGUGCUUCUAAAUCUGCAUUGCAUGCUAUUUGAGGUUUUAAGCUGGGUGUCGGAAUAAGCAUUUUGUGACAUCUGCUGAUGUAAAAAGGGCUUUAUAAAUAAAUUGUACUGAUUGAUUGAUGAUUGAUUGUAUGAAAUGGAGUAGCAUCUAUCCAUCGUGUAAAAUGAACAUUGUGCACUGUCUCCAUGGAGUAUACUACUGCAGCCUUAGGCAAUGUAUAUUAACGUGGUGCAUAACAUUAUCUCAUAUCACAUGCAUGGCAAGACAUGAUUGAUGUAAUUAGAUGCUCUGGAGAGAUCCCACCCUCCUUCCCCAACACAUGUAGAAUGCUUAGAAACCACCAGAAACCUGUGAAAUAGAUCAACAUGUUUAAUCUCCUCUCAAGGUCUGUUGAUUUACAGUAUCUCAGAAUCAGGAACUGUCAUAUCCCAUGUGAUAUGUCAAAACAAGUUGAUACAUGUGUUAUCAUGGUGCAUUGGGUUUGUAUUUGUAUUUAUUGUGGAUCCCCUUUAGCUGCAGCAGCUACUCUUCAUGGGGUCCAGUAAAAUGAAGGCAGUUAUGCAGUUGUAAAAACAUUCCUAUACAUUCACAACAGAUUUCACAAAAUCCAUGUUCCUGUUUGAUUUCGGGGUAGGCUGUCAACAGCACGUACUGUGUCACUAUGAUAUGUAUUCUGAUCAAGUCAACAAUGCCUCUAGGCAUAUCUGACGUCAUGUAUUUGAUAUCUUUAUGUGAAGGAUAAUGUCCAUAUUGACAUCAGUUCAUUGUGUUUGAGGACGGUUCACUGACCGGUUUUCAACGGAUACGAUUAGAUUAGUUUAACAGUUACAGAAAAGCUACAGUAGCCUAUCAGAACUGCUACAGUAUCCGAGGCGCAGAGCCUUAAUUAACGGGCUACACAUAAUGGCUGACGACAGCCAGGUAAGGUUCACUUUAGCCUACGUUUAAUGAGCUUUAACGUUGUCCUAAUUCCAUCUUGUUCUAAUGGCAAGUCUGCCUUAAGUGCAGAAACUAUGGUUGAUAUUAGAAAAUAAGUAUGAUUGGAAGUUUAGGCAAGUAAUUCCAAUUGGGGAAUUGUUGAGGGAUGUUAGCAUACCAUAUUGCGCGUGUAGCAUUCGUGCCAUGGAGGAUUGUGCAGGCCGGGAGGUUGCUACAGUAUCCUAGUAUCAUGUAUGUUAUAGGGAUCAGAUCUGGCUGACUUUUUCACCUGAACUGCUCAUUGGCUGUCCAUAAUGAGCCCAGCGAGCAGGAUGUGUAGCUGGGCUCUGCAAUAAUUAGCUCCCAGAGCAAUUACAAAUAACUAUUAUUGUUUUAAAAGCGUCAUUACAACUAGCAACAUGACGGUCAGUCACCUCUAAGCAGGACUCAGUAGAAACGCUAUGUGUUGGAUUUGUCCAUGUCUCUCUAAAUUAACGUAGCUACCAUAACAGCCGUGGAGAGUUUAUACUACAGUUUUAAGGGAUCUCUCUGAAGGUUUUAGAUGAUACAGUGGUGCUUCGUCCUCUGGAUGAAGAACCAUACAUCUCGGCUUGGCUCCAUUGCAUUAUUAUUUGGGAAACGUUGACAUGCCAUUUGUGUUGGCGGAUGGAUGAAAAUAAUGUGAUUAUAGUAUCGUUAUACAUAGGCUAGCAGGAAAAUCCGCAUGAGAUAUCCAUAGAACUGAGCCCUGCUCCGUUUCAGCACCAUGGCACGGUCCCCUGACUCCAAGAAACGUGUCAGCUCUAUGCAGCGGACAGCUCCACAGUGCUGAAAUAGUUCAAGCCCCCUUGAACAUCUUUGAUUUGAAAUUAUUCUGCAAGUGGUUAUAAUUUAUUGCACGUCCUAGUUCUGCAGCUUUGCAACCUCAGAAUUAUAGCUAAUGGAUGGCAGCGAGUUACGUUUUUGUGCAUGGUGAUGAAUGACGACGCAUGAUAAACCAUAAAUUAAACGCAAAAACGUGCACUUAGACAUAUUUUCGUUUGGCAGAACUUUGACAAGCUUUGAUUUGUUUUCCAAUUACAUUGACAAUUCAUAUAGACAUUAGACUUUGGCCUAAUUGUGACAUCAUGUGUGUAUGACAUCUUUGGAGAAUGCUCUGGCUUCAGCCAAUCGGAAUCGAGUAUUCAACAAUGCUUUGGCAUAAUUCAAGGACGUUCAUAUUCACUUCAGUUGUUUGCCGAUGGUUCACUGACGUUUUUUCAAAGGAGGUAUUAGUAUUUCCUCUAAACAGCCUACAACAAUAAGCUACACAUCAUGUCAGAUGACAGCAAGGUAUGGUUCAUUUAGCCUAUUUUGAGUUUAGAAGAGAAAUUACUAACAAUAUAGUAGGUCACUAACACAGCAAUAGGUCUCACUGGUUUGAUCCAUGGACUGAAAUCUGACCACUAUUGCCGUUUUGUUUAAAAUAGGAGCGAAUAAGUUGUUUCAUAAAGUCACAACCUAGGACUGAUAUUGGUCUCUCAUUUAUCCACCAGAGCGUGAAAUGGGAGGAUCCCCCAGAUGACCAAAAUAAGGUUGUGGAGAAUAUGAAGGAUGAAACAGAGACAUAUGAGACCAACAAGAACAGGACAGGAGGCAAGGCUAAACGUAAAUCCAGUGGCUGUGCCAAGAAGACUUCCGUGGAGGAGGACUGCAGCAUUGGUGCAGAGUCUUCUCAGACACCCGGGUGUGGUUUCCGGGAAAGGGGAUCUAUCAUUGAGCAGCUGGAGAAGGAGGCUCAGAGGACUCUAAUGCCUUCUCUCAAGAUUGAGACAUGCUGUGCCCCAAUCCUCCUCUCCUUCCUGAGGAAUCUAACUGAUGAGCAAGUCCCAUGUCUUUUUCCAACCUCACAUACAACAACUCUGAAUUUAUAGUCAUAGUGCACCUUCUAACCACAAAGGGGAUUUCAAACAGUACACCUAACAUCACUGUAACCACACCCCUAACUCUUCCUGUAAAUCAAGAACAAAAUGUCUCAUGUACUUGCUAAUAGCUUCAUUAAAUACACGUUUAUUUCCCCUAACAUGGAUAUCUAGUGACUCCACUAACUCAACAUCAGUGUGCAGGUAAAAUAUGUUUCCUUUCUUUUCUUUUCUCUAGCCAAUGGAGAGUGAUUCAGCAUGGCAUGAAA